rnacentral:rRNA from 1 species
AUUGAACGCUGGCGGCAGGCCUAACACAUGCAAGUCGGGCGAGUGGCGGACGGGUGAGUAAUGUAUGGGGAACUGCCUGAUGGCGGGGGAUAACUACUGGAAACGGUAGCUAAUACCGCAUACCAUCAGAUGUACCCAUAUGGGAUUAGCUAGUAGGUAGGGUAACGGCUAACCUAGGCGACGAUCCCUAGCUGGUCUGAGAGGAGGAUCAGCCACACUGGGACUGAGACACGGCCCAGACUCCUACGGGAGGCAGCAGUGGGGAAUAUUGCACAAUGGGCGCAAGCCUGAUGCAGCCAUGCCGCGUGUAGGAAGAAGGCCUUCGGGUUGUAAAGUACUUUCAGUGGGGAGGCGUUACCUACAGAAGAAGCACCGGCUAACUCCGUGCCAGCAGCCGCGGUAAUUC